rnacentral:misc_RNA from 1 species
AACGCACAUUGCGCCCCUUGGUAUUCCGGGGGGCAUGCCUGUUCGAGCGUCACUUCAACCCUCAAGCUCUGCUUGGUAUUGGGCCGCGCCAGCAAUGGCCGGCCUUAAAAUCAGUGGCGGCGCCGCUGGGCCCUGAGCGUAGUAAUACUCCUCGCUACUGGGUCCCGGUGGAUGCUUGCCAUAACCCCAACUUUCUAUGGUUGACCUCGGAUCAGGUAGGGAUACCCGCUGAACUUAA